CCUACGGGGGGCUGCAGUAGGGAAUAUUGGGCAAUGGACGAGAGUCUGACCCAGCCAUGCCGCGUGCAGGAAGAAGGCCUUCUGGGUUGUAAACUGCUUUUAUCAGGGAAGAAAACGCUCCUGCGGGAGUAACUGACGGUACCUGAGGAAUAAGCACCGGCUAACUCCGUGCCAGCAGCCGCGGUAAUACGGAGGGUGCAAGCGUUGUCCGGAUUUAUUGGGUUUAAAGGGUGCGUAGGCGGCCUUUUAAGUCAGUGGUGAAAGCCAACAGCUCA
rnacentral:rRNA from 1 species